GAUGAACGCUGGCGGCGUGCUUAACACAUGCAAGUCGAACGAAGCACUCUAUUUGAUUUUCUUCGGAAAUGAAGAUUUUGUGACUGAGUGGCGGACGGGUGAGUAACGCGUGGGUAACCUGCCUCGUACAGGGGGAUAACAGUUGGAAACGACUGCUAAUACCGCAUAAGCGCACAGGAUUGCAUGAUCCGGUGUGAAAAACUCCGGUGGUAUGAGAUGGACCCGCGUCUGAUUAGCCAGUUGGCAGGGUAACGGCCUACCAAAGCGACGAUCAGUAGCCGACCUGAGAGGGUGACUGGCCACAUUGGGACUGAGACACGGCCCAAACUCCUACGGGAGGCAGCAGUGGGGAAUAUUGCACAAUGGGGGAAACCCUGAUGCAGCGACGCCGCGUGAGCGAAGAAGUAUUUCGGUAUGUAAAGCUCUAUCAGCAGGGAAGAAGAAUGACGGUA
rnacentral:rRNA from 1 species